rnacentral:rRNA from 1 species
GGAUUCCCCUAGUAACUGCGAGUGAAGCGGGAAAAGCUCAAAUUUAAAAUCUGGUAGUCUUCGGCUGCCCGAGUUGUAAUCUAGAGAAGCAUUAUCCGCGCUGGACCGUGUACAAGUCUCCUGGAACGGAGCGUCAUAGAGGGUGAGAAUCCCGUCUUUGACACGGACUACCAGGGCUUUGUGAUGUGCUCUCAAAGAGUCGAGUUGUUUGGGAAUGCAGCUCUAAAUGGGUGGUAAAUUCCAUCUAAAGCUAAAUAUUGGCGAGAGACCGAUAGCGAACAAGUACCGUGAGGGAAAGAUGAAAAGAACUUUGGAAAGAGAGUUAAACAGUACGUGAAAUUGUUGAAAGGGAAACGCUUGAAGUCAGUCGCGUUUGCUGGGGAUCAACCUUGCUUCUUGCUUGGCUUACUUCCCAGUAGACGGGUCAGCAUCAAUUUUGACCGGUGGAUAAAGGCUAAGGGAAUGUGGCAUCUUCGGGUGUGUUAUAGCUCUUGGUCGCAUACAUCGGUUGGGAUUGAGGAACUCAGCACGCCGCAAGGCCGGGUCUUUGACCACGUUCGUGCUUAGGAUGCUGGCAUAAUGGCUUUAAUCGACCCGUCUUGAAACACGGACCAAGGAGUCUAACAUGCCCGCGAGUGUUUGGGUGGAAAACCCGAGCGCGUAAUGAAAGUGAAAGUUGAGAUCCCUGUCGUG